rnacentral:lncRNA from 1 species
UGGGACUGGGAGGAGGUGCAGCUGCGCCAGGGGCUCCAUCCCCAGGACCGUGAGCCCAGGCUGAGGGGUGGCUGGAGGGAAGAAUAGCUUUCUGUGAAGAGCCAGAAAGUCCGUGCAGACUGAAAAUGCUUAAGAGGAUCUGCUUCCCAGCCUGUUUGCCUCCAUGGAAUGUGAUUGAUUCUGGCACAUUCCAAACGCAGAGUCCGGUAUAAGCCAAGUAGAGCUGAUUGCCUCUUCUCAAGGUAGGGCCAACAGCUGGCAAGAGGACUCGGUGGGGCGCGCUGCUGUUAUUCUGUUGUGGAUGUUUCCUUCCGUACUAUCAUCAGAAAUGUGGUAAAAAAUGAAUGCUGGCUAACUCUCUUGAGCCCAUCUUCCAGUAGUCCUCAGCCAGCCUCCAUGGUCUCUUGCAUCCUAAGAUGUCAGUUUAGGGGCAGAUCCAAAGAUGGGUCCAAGAGACUAUGGAAAAUUCAGAUUUCCAAAGGUCUUCCU